rnacentral:rRNA from 1 species
GACGAACGCUGGCGGCGUGCUUAACACAUGCAAGUCGAACCGAAAGGCCCUGCUUGCAGGGUUCUCGAGUGGCGAACGGGUGAGUAACACGUGGGUGAUCUGCCCUGCACUUCGGGAUAAGCCUGGGAAACUGGGUCUAAUACCGGAUAGGAGCCAUUUUUAGUGUGAUGGUUGGAAAGUUUUUUCGGUGUAGGAUGAGCUCGCGGCCUAUCAGCUUGUUGGUGGGGUAAUGGCCUACCAAGGCGGCGACGGGUAGCCGGCCUGAGAGGGUGGACGGCCACAGUGGGACUGAGAUACGGCCCAGACUCCUACGGGAGGCAGCAGUGGGGAAUAUUGCACAAUGGGCGCAAGCCUGAUGCAGCGACGCCGCGUGGGGGAUGACGGCCUUCGGGUUGUAAACUCCUUUCGCUAGGGACGAAGCUUUUUGUGACGGUACCUAGAGAAGAAGCACCGGCUAACUACGUG